CACUGUAAUAAAUCCGAGCAGGACUUUAUUCCAGCUAAAGUGGGCCAGCAUCCUCUUGUCUCCACACCUGAACUCACUCCCUUAAUCAUCCACCUGUUCAUUGUCCUGAUCAUCUGAGUCACCUGUCGUCACCUUGUUAGUGUUAAUUUUGUAUCUGUAUUUAGUUCUCUCUAUUUCAGUCUGUGCUUGUCGGUUCUUGAUUAUGUUUCAUGGAUAGUGUGUGUAAUCUUCUGCCAGUCUUCCUUGUACCUGUUUGGAGUUUUUGAGUAAAUGUUUUGUAUUGGAGCUUUG